rnacentral:lncRNA from 1 species
AACACCAUAAGAACAGCAAGAGCCCCUCACCUCGGCACGAGACACCGGUCCCAUCGAUGGUCACCUUACACACUGCACACACUGGAGCCUUCUUCCGGAAAACCUUCUCCCGGAAGCUGUGCGGUUCUGCUUUCCUAGGCUGCGAGAGGGAUGACAGACAAAUAGGGUUAUGAGUUCCUAGUGGGCCCAUCUCCAAGGCUGGGCAGGGACCUUUCCUUAGAGCGACUGCAUCCCUCUCUUCCAGCCAAAAGUCUCUGAACUCUAAGGCACACUUGGCCACAGCUGUUCCAGGGUAGUCAUGAGGCCUGUCCUCUACAGGGCUUGGAAUGUGACCCCUUGCGUCACCUUGGUUGGGUUAACUCCUCCCUGAG